rnacentral:rRNA from 1 species
AAUGAACGCUGACAGAAUGCUUAACACAUGCAAGUCUACUUGAUUCUACUUCGGUAGUUGAUGGUGGCGGACGGGUGAGUAACGCGUAAAGAAUCUGCCCUUUAGUUUGGGAUAACCUUUGGAAACGGAGGCUAAUACCGGAUAUUAUGGAGACGUCGCAUGACGACUUCAUGAAAGCUAUAUGCGCUAGAGGAGGACUUUGCGUCCCAUUAGUUAGUUGGUGAGGUAAUGGCUCACCAAGACCGCGAUGGGUAGCCGGCCUGAGAGGGUGAUCGGCCACAAGGGAACUGAGACACGGUCCUUACUCCUACGGGAGGCAGCAGUGGGGAAUAUUGGACAAUGGGCCACAAGCCUGAUCCAGCAAUUCUGUGUGCACGAUGAAGGUCUUCGGAUUGUAAAGUGCUUUCAGUAGGGAAGAAAAAAAUGACGGUACCUACAGAAGAAGCGACGGCUAAAUAUGUGCCAGCAGCCGCGGUAA